rnacentral:rRNA from 1 species
AAUGAACGUUGGCGGCGUGGAUUAGGCAUGCAAGUCGUGCGGAAGUGGCCCGCAAGGGUUACUUUAGCGGCGAAAGGGAGAGUAAUACGUAGGUACCUACCCCUGGAACCGGGAUAGCUGCGGGAAACUGCAGGUAAUACCGGAUAACGUCUCCGGACCAAAGGUGUGAUUCCGUCCGGGGAGGGGCCUGCGUCCUAUUAGAUAGUUGGUGAGGUGAUGGAUCACCAAGGCAAAGAUGGGUACGGGGUAUGCGAGUAUGCCCCCGCUCACUGGGAUUGAGACACUGCCCAGACACCUACGGGUGGCUGCAGUCGAGGAUCUUCGGCAAUGGGGGGAACCCUGACCGAGCGACGCCGCGUGUGGGAUGAAGGCUCUCGGGUUGUAAACCACUGUCAGAGGGGAUGAAAUGCUAUGGGGUUCUCUCCAUAGUUUGACAUAUCCUCAGAGGAAGGACGGGCUAAGUUCGUGCCAGCAGCCGCGGGAA